AGUGUCUGGUGGGUAGUUUGACUGGGGCGGUCUCCUCCUAAAGAGUAACGGAGGAGCACGAAGGUUGGCUAAUCCUGGUCGGACAUCAGGAGGUUAGUGCAAUGGCAUAAGCCAGCUUGACUGCGAGCGUGACGGCGCGAGCAGGUGCGAAAGCAGGUCAUAGUGAUCCGGUGGUUCUGAAUGGAAGGGCCAUCGCUCAACGGAUAAAAGGUACUCCGGGGAUAACAGGCUGAUACCGCCCAAGAGUUCAUAUCGACGGCGGUGUUUGGCACCUCGAUGUCGGCUCAUCACAUCCUGGGGCUGAAGUAGGUCCCAAGGGUAUGGCUGUUCGCCAUUUAAAGUGGUACGCGAGCUGGGUUUAGAACGUCGUGAGACAGUUCGGUCCCUAUCUGCCGUGGGCGCUGGAGAAUUGAGGGGGGCUGCUCCUAGUACGAGAGGACCGGAGUGGACGCAUCACUGGUGUUCGGGUUGUCAUGCCAAUGGCACUGCCCGGUAGCUAAAUGCGGAAGAGAUAAGUGCUGAAAGCAUCUAAGCACGAAACUUGCCCCGAGAUGAGUUCUCCCUGACUCCUUGAGAGUCCUGAAGGAACGUUGAAGACGACGACGUUGAUAGGCCGGGUGUGUAAGCGCAGCGAUGCGUUGAGCUAACCGGUACUAAUGAACCGUGAGGCUUAACCUUACAACGCCGAAG
rnacentral:rRNA from 1 species